UUGACAUGUGUGAAAACAUGAAAUGACCCUUGGCUCUUAUUGUUCUUGCUGGUGUGGUAUGUUCACGGCUGAAAAGAUGGUCAGAAGGGGAAAGGAGGAAGUGAGAAGAAAGAAACAGGGAAAUGACAGAGUGUUGCUCAGUUACCCAGGCUGGAGUGCAAUGGCAUGAUCUUGGCUCACUGCAGCCUCCACCUCCUGGGUUCAAGCGGUUCUCGUGCCUCAGUCUCCCAAGUAGCUGGGAUUACAGGCUGGAGUGCGAUGGCAUGAUCUUGGCUCACGGCAAACUCCGCCUCCCUGGUUCAAGUGAUUCUCCUGCCUCAGCCUCCCGAGUAGCCGGGAUUACAGGCAUGUGCCACCAUGCCCCGUUGGCCAGGCUGGUCUCGAACACCUUACCUCAGGUGAUCCUCCCACCUUUGGGAUUACAGACCCUGCAUGUGAUGGAUCAGCUGACACCAUCCAGAUCGGUAAACUGGUUCAUCUGAUCUUGUGCCCUCCACCCAGGAACUGACUCAGCGCAAGAAGACAGCUUCGACUCCUUGUGAUUUCAUCCCUAACCAAUCAGCACUCCUGGCUCACUGGCUUCCCCCAACCCACCAAAUUGUCCUUAAAAACUCUGCUCUCCAAACGCUGGGGGAGACUGAUUUGAGUAAUAAUAAAACCCUGGUCUCCUGCA
rnacentral:lncRNA from 10 species